CACAAUGUCUUUGUUAAAAAGCUUCAAAGGUAACAAAGAGGGCACCACAUUGGAGCAAUAAACUUUCUGUAGAGGAUGUGGAGUAUCUUUUCAUGAAGAGGCUUUCUGUGUUUCUUGUAGGUUCACAUGGAUUUGACUUUGUUAGCCCUUGACAUGGACUCGGAUAGGGCACAUCAAUGUGAAAAGUUAACAUCGAGGCUUGCUAUUCAUAACUGUCCAAUGACACCUCCUUCUCUAGUUCCUGGAUUGUUUCAGAAGCAAAAUUAAUCACCAUUCUAAAAACUUCUCGUGUGACAAAUGUUUUCCAUGGUCUAUGAGUGUGAUCCAUGUAGUUACGUUUGAAAUAUAUUUCAUGAAGCUUUAAUGGGAUAUGUUAAUGUGUUCUUCUGAUAAA